UACGUAGGUGGCAAGCGUUGUCCGGAUUUACUGGGCGUAAAGGAUGCGUAGGCGGAUAUUUAAGUCAGAUGUGAAAUACCCGAGCUUAACUUGGGUGCUGCAUUUGAAACUGGAUAUCUAGAGUGUGGGAGAGGAAAGUGGAAUUCCUAGUGUAGCGGUGAAAUGCGUAGAGAUUAGGAAGAACACCAGUGGCGAAGGCGACUUUCUGGACCAUAACUGACGCUGAGGCAUGAAAGCGUGGGGAGCAAACAGG
rnacentral:rRNA from 1 species